CAGCCGCCGCGGUAAUACAGAGGGUGCGAGCGUUAAUCGGAUUUACUGGGCGUAAAGCGUGCGUAGGCGGCUUCUUAAGUCGGAUGUGAAAUCCCUGAGCUUAACUUAGGAAUUGCAUUCGAUACUGGGAAGCUAGAGUAUGGGAGAGGAUGGUAGAAUUCCAGGUGUAGCGGUGAAAUGCGUAGAGAUCUGGAGGAAUACCGAUGGCGAAGGCAGCCAUCUGUCCUAAUACUGACGCUGAGGUACGAAAGCAUGGGGAGCAAACAGGAUUAGAUACCCCAGUAGUCCCUGUCUCUUAUAC
rnacentral:rRNA from 1 species